UACGUAGGGUGCAAGCGUUAAUCGGAAUUACUGGGCGUAAAGCGUACGCAGGCGGCUUUGCAAGACAGGUGUGAAAUCCCCGGGCCUAACCUGGGAACUGCAUUUGUGACUGCAUGGCUAGAGUUUGUCAGAGGGGGGUGGAAUUCCACGUGUAGCAGUGAAAUGCGUAGAUAUCUGGAGGAACACCGGUGGCGAAGGCGGCAUCCUGGACCAAUUCUGACGCUGAGGAGCGAAAGCCAGGGGAGCAAACGGG
rnacentral:rRNA from 1 species